CCUACGGGUGGCAGCAGUGAGGAAUAUUGGUCAAUGGUCGUAAGCCUGAACCAGCCAAGUAGCGUGCAGGAUGACGGCCCUAUGGGUUGUAAACUGCUUUUAUACAGGCAUAAAGUGCGGCACGUGUGCUUUUUUGUACGUACUUUAUGAAUAAGGAUCGGCUAAUUCCGUGCCAGCAGCCGCGGUAAUACGGAGGAUCCGGGCGUUAUCCGGAUUUAUUGGGUUUAAAGGGAGCGUAGGCGGGUUGUUAAGUUAGCGGUGAAAUGUCGUGGCUCAACCAUGGAAUUGCCAAGGAUACUGGCUGGCGUGAGUGCGGGUGAGGUAGGCGGAAUUCGUGGUGUAGCGGUGAAAUGCUUAGAUAUCACGAAGAACUCCGAUUGCGAAGGCAGCCUACUAAACUGCCACUGACGCUGAUGCUCGAAAGUGUGGGUAUCAAACAGGAUUAGAUACCCUAGUAGUC
rnacentral:rRNA from 1 species